UACAGAGGGGGCAAGCGUUGUUCGGAAUUACUGGGCGUAAAGGGCGCGUAGGCGGCCUUCUAAGUCAGACGUGAAAUCCCUCGGCUCAACCGGGGAACUGCGUCUGAGACUGAAAGGCUUGAAUCCGGGAGAGGAAUGCGGAAUUCCAGGUGUAGCGGUGAAAUGCGUAGAUAUCAAGUGGAACACCAGUGGCGAAGGCGAGUCCCUGGACAACUCCUGACACUGAGGCACGAAAGCUAGGGGAGCAAACAGG
rnacentral:rRNA from 1 species